rnacentral:rRNA from 1 species
AUUGAACGCUGGCGGCAGGCCUAACACAUGCAAGUCGAACGGUAACAGGAAGAAGCUUGCUUCUUUGCUGACGAGUGGCGGACGGGUGAGUAAUGUCUGGGAAACUGCCUGAUGGAGGGGGAUAACUACUGGAAACGGUAGCUAAUACCGCAUAACGUCGCAAGACCAAAAAGGGGGACCUUCGGGCCUCUUGCCAUCGGAUGUGCCCAGAUGGGAUUAGCUAGUAGGUGGGGUAACGGCUCACCUAGGCGACGAUCCCUAGCUGGUCUGAGAGGAUGACCAGCCACACUGGAACUGAGACACGGUCCAGACUCCUACGGGAGGCAGCAGUGGGGAAUAUUGGACAAUGGGCGCAAGCCUGAUGCAGCCAUGCCGCGUGUAUGAAGAAGGCCUUCGGGUUGUAAAGUACUUUCGGCGGGGAGGAAGGGAGUAAAGUUAAUACCUUUGCUCAUUGACGUUACCCGCAGAAGAAGCACCGGCUAACUCCGUG